GAUGAACGCUGGCGGCGUGCUUAACACAUGCAAGUCGAACGAUGAAAGCGGGAGCUUGCUCCUGCUGGAUUAGUGGCGAACGGGUGAGUAACACGUGAGCAAUCUGCCCCGAACUCUGGGAUAAGCGUUGGAAACGACGUCUAAUACCGGAUACGACGCGCGAAGGCAUCUUCUGCGCGUGGAAAGAACUUCGGUUCGGGAUGAGCUCGCGGCCUAUCAGCUAGUUGGUGAGGUAACGGCUCACCAAGGCGACGACGGGUAGCCGGCCUGAAUGGGUGACCAGACAAACUGGGACCGCGAAACGGCCCAGACUGCUACGGGAGGCAGCAGUGGGGAAUAUUGCGCAAUGGACGAAAGUCUGACGCAGCCAUGCCGCGUGAAGGAUUGAAGGCCCUAUGGGUUGUAAACUUCUUUUGUAUGGGAAAAAACCCCCCGACGUGUCGGGGGCUGAUGGUACCAUAAGAAUAAGCACCGGCUAACUCCGUGCCAGC
rnacentral:rRNA from 1 species